GACGAACGCUGGCGGCGUGCCUAAUACAUGCAAGUCGAACGAAGCUGUUUUAACUGGUGCUUGCACCGACUUAAACAACUGAGUGGCGAACGGGUGAGUAACACGUGGGUAACCUGCCCCAAAGCGGGGGAUAACAUUUGGAAACAGAUGCUAAUACCGCAUAACCACAGAAACCACAUGGUUUCUGUGUCAAAGAUGGUUUCGGCUAUCACCUUGGGAUGGACCCGCGGCGUAUUAGCUAUUUGGUAAGGUAAUGGCUUACCAAGGCAAUGAUACGUAGCCGAACUGAGAGGUUGAUCGGCCACAUUGGGACUGAGACACGGCCCAAACUCCUACGGGAGGCAGCAGUAGGGAAUCUUCCACAAUGGACGAAAGUCUGAUGGAGCAACGCCGCGUGAGUGAAGAAGGUUUUCGGAUCGUAAAACUCUGUUGUCAGAGAAGAACGUGUGCGAGAAUAACUGUUCGUGCAGUGACGGUAUCUGGCCAGAAAGCCACGGCUAACUACGUGCCAGCCGCCGCAGUAA
rnacentral:rRNA from 1 species